rnacentral:miRNA from 1 species
UUCCUUCCGGUCAACGAGGAUGUACCUCGUUGAUCGGAAGGGUUUCCUUCCGAUCAAAGAGGUAGAUGUACCUCCCUGAUUGGAAGGGAAUCCUUCCAAUCAACGAGGUAAAUCCUCAUUGACCAAAAGGAA